rnacentral:rRNA from 1 species
CCCGCACAAGCGGCGGAGCAUGCGGAUUAAUUCGAUGCAACGCGAAGAACCUUACCAAGGCUUGACAUACACCGGUAACGCCCAGAGAUGGGUGCCCCUUUGUGGUCGGUGUACAGGUGGUGCAUGGUUGUCGUCAGCUCGUGUCGUGAGAUGUUGGGUUAAGUCCCGCAACGAGCGCAACCCUCGUCCUAUGUUGCCAGCGGGUCAUGCCGGGGACUCAUGGGAGACUGCCGGGGUCAACUCGGAGGAAGGUGGGAUGACGUCAAAUCGUCAUGCCCCUUAUGUCUUGGGCUUCACGCAUGCUACAAUGGCCGGUACAAAGGGCUGCGAUACCGCGAGGUGGAGCGAAUCCCAGAAAGCCGGUCUCAGUUCGGAUUGGGAUCUGCAACUCGACCCCAUGAAGUCGGAGCCGCUAGUAAUCGCAGAUCAGCAACGCUGCGGUGAAUACGUUCCCGGGCCUU